GCUUGCUUAGUAUUGGUGUUAGAAAAAAUAGCAGCCCCGCCGCCGCACCACCCUAUUGAGCCCUACCUGACACCUACCGCAACAGUCUCUGCCGGAGUGUAUGAAAUGGUGGCUCCUUUACACACACUGGGGUCCGGUGACAUCUCUGUACAGCGCACGGUGGCAUGUGCAGUACACAGGAACAGACAGCGCGGGUGACAGAGGCAUCGCUGUGACUGCUUGCUACCGCAGUCACCAUGAUACGAAGGGAGAGACAUGAUGUAAGCCAGCAUUGACAGAAUUGGGAGCGCACCGGUACCCCAAAAAAGGCAAUCAAAAUGAUUAAGAACAUCAAAUUCAGGUCAUGGUAGGUCACUUCCUUCCGGUAUAGGAAUGGACUUUUCUGGAAUACUAAGUCCAGCAUAGCUUAUUGGGUAAGGAAGGAUGUGGAUCAUAACUUGACCAUUCAACAAGCUUCCACAAAGAAAUUAGAAAGGACCUACAAGUGGAGCGUACUCUGUUGAGAAUAAAGAUGACCACCAAGUGACAUGCAACUGGAA